GACGAACGCUGGCGGCGUGCUUAACACAUGCAAGUCGAACGGACAGGCCCUGCUCUUGUGGCGUGCUCGAUUGGCGAACGCGUGAGUAACACGCGAGUAACAUGCCCCUGUCUUUGGGAUAACUUCUGGAAACAGGGGCUAAUACCGCAUAGGAGCUACUGCUGCACGGUGUGGGUUGGAAAGUUUCGGCGGUUGGGUCUGGAAUCGCGGCUUAUCAGCUUGUUGGUGAGGUAGUGGCGUACCAAGGCUAUGACGGGUAGCCGGCCUGAGCGGGUAACCGGCCACAAUGGGACUGAGAGAGGGCCCAGACUCCUACGGGAGGCAGCAGUGGGAAGUAUUGCGCAGUGGGCGGAAGCGUGAGGCGACAACGCCCCGUGCGUAAAGACGGCUUUCGGGUGGUAAACCGCUGUCGACGGUAACGAGGCGUGAGUGACGGUAAUGGGUAAGAAAGCACCGGCUAACUACGUG
rnacentral:rRNA from 1 species